UGAGGAAUAUUGGUCAAUGGACGCGAGUCUGAACCAGCCAAGUAGCGUGAAGGAUGACUGCCCUAUGGGUUGUAAACUUCUUUUAUAUGGGAAUAAAGUGGUCCACGUGUGGAUUUUUGUAUGUACCAUAUGAAUAAGGAUCGGCUAACUCCGUGCCAGCAGCCGCGGUAAUACGGAGGAUCCGAGCGUUAUCCGGAUUUAUUGGGUUUAAAGGGAGCGUAGGCGGAUUGUUAAGUCAGUUGUGAAAGUUUGCGGCUCAACCGUAAAAUUGCAGUUGAUACUGGCAGUCUUGAGUGCAGUAGAGGUGGGCGGAAUUCGUGGUGUAGCGGUGAAAUGCUUAGAUAUCACGAAGAACUCCGAUUGCGAAGGCAGCUCACUGGAGUGUAACUGACGCUGAUGCUCGAAAGUGUGGGUAUCAAACAGGAUUAGAUACCCUGGUAGUCCACACAGUAAACGAUGAAUACUCGCUGUUUGCGAUAUACAGUAAGCGGCCAAGCGAAAGCAUUAAGUAUUCCACCUGGGGAGUACGCCGGCAACGGUGAAACUCAAAGGAAUUGACGGGGGCCCGCACAAGCGGAGGAACAUGUGGUUUAAUUCGAUGAUACGCGAGGAACCUUACCCGGGCUUAAAUUGCAAAUGAAUUAUGGGGAAACCCAUACGCCGCAAGGCAUUUGUGAAGGUGCUGCAUGGUUGUCGUCAGCUCGUGCCGUGAGGUGUCGGCUUAAGUGCCAUAACGAGCGCAACCCUUAUCUUCAGUUACUAACAGGUCAUGCUGAGGACUCUGGAGAGACUGCCGUCGUAAGAUGUGAGGAAGGUGGGGAUGACGUCAAAUCAGCACGGCCCUUACGUCCGGGGCUACACACGUGUUACAAUGGGGGGUACAGAAGGCCGCUACCUGGUGACAGGAUGCCAAUCCCAAAAACCUCUCUCAGUUCGGAUCGAAGUCUGCAACCCGACUUCGUGAAGCUGGAUUCGCUAGUAAUCGCGCAUCAGCCAUGGCGCGGUGAAUACGUUCCC
rnacentral:rRNA from 1 species